GUACGCUGGCGGCACGCCUAACACAUGCAAGUCGAACGCAGUAGCAAUACUGAGUGGCAAACGGGUGAGUAACAUGUGGGUAUCUGCCCUUCGGCCUGGAAUAACACGAGGAAACUUGUGCUAAUACCGGAUAAGUCUUUACAGAGAAAGCUUUAUGCACCGAUGGAUGAGCCCGCACCUGAUUAGUUAGUUGGUGAGGUAAUGGCUCACCAAGACAAUGAUCAGUAGCUGAUUUGAGAGGAUGAUCAGCCACAUUGGGACUGAGACACGGCCCAAACUCCUACGGGAGGCAGCAGUGGGGAAUCUUGCACAAUGGGGGAAACCCUGAUGCAGCGAUGCCGCGUGAGUGAAGAAGGCCUUUGGGUUGUAAAGCUCUUUCGUCGGGGAAGAAAAUGACUGUACCCGAAUAAGAAGGUCCGG
rnacentral:rRNA from 1 species